GUACCUCAAGUGUGUCGCCAAUGUUAACGAUGAAUGCACCAUUCGGAGCGUCUACGGAUAACCACUUGCCAUCUUUCUUGAUCUGCAGGCCCUGCACGUCGUUAACCUGGAGCAGCAGUGUUAGGCCAACCACAUCAGAGUGCGGCGAAAUGCCCAUCACCUUGUCAGAUUGCAGGCACGGUGGGUAGUAGGUCAUCCUUAAGCCUCGAGGCUGCUCUUCAAAUAUGCCUAAAAGAGCCUCUGGCUUAGCGCCCACAGCCUUAGCCAUGAACUCAAACAAGCAGAACAGAUGCCUAUCAAAAGCUAAAUUACACAUUUUAUUUGGGUAGAUCACCUGAAAGAUGCAGGGGAAGUCGGCCAGAACCUCAAGUCCCUUGAAUCGCUAGGAUGGACUUGAAGAUACAGCAUGUCUGCCCAGUCAAGUUUCUGGUCCUCGGAGAAAACGAGGGCCUGUCCAUAGCCUUCGAGGCUGUUGGGUAGCUGUGUGUACUCCUUCUUGGCGUCCAGUGGCUGGCUGAAGAAAUCAACAAUGUCUCUCUUGAGGUUUGCAAUCACUUCAUCUGGCACUCCAUGGUUGAUGAGCUGUAGUUUAUUCCAUAAGUAAUGCUUCAAAUAUAUUAGUUGUACAGCUCAAACUGAGCUAGAUCUACUUACAAACCUAAAGUUACAUACCUGAAAGAACCCCCAAUACUGGCAGGCAGAUCUCAGCUUCACACAUUCUUCUGAUGAUUGCGGAGAAAGCAACUUAUUGAGAUCGAUGAUCGGAAUCGCCUCACCAUGGUAGUUGCUGAUGACCUCCUCAGAACUAGCCUCUGGCCUGAUGUAUCUUUCAGGUAUGUGUUCAUCUGGACCAUUGCAAGUUUUUGCAAGCUCCUGCACAUUAGGCACUGGGAGAGAACCAAUGGCUCUUGCUCCCGCCAUUGAAAUU
rnacentral:sRNA from 1 species